GACGAACGCUGGCGGCGUGCUUAACACAUGCAAGUCGAACGCUGAAGCUCAGCUUUUGUUGGGUGGAUGAGUGGCGAACGGGUGAGUAACACGUGAGUAACCUGCCCCCUUCUUUGGGAUAACGCCCGGAAACGGGUGCUAAUACUGGAUAUUCACUGGUCUUCGCAUGGGGGUUGGUGGAAAGGGUUUUUCUGGUGGGGGAUGGGCUCGCGGCCUAUCAGCUUGUUGGUGGGGUGAUGGCCUACCAAGGCUUUGACGGGUAGCCGGCCUGCGAGGGUGACCGGUCACAUUGGGACUGAGAUACGGCCCAGACUCCUACGGGAGGCAGCAGUGGGGAAUAUUGCACAAUGGGCGCAAGCCUGAUGCAGCGACGACGCGUGAGGGAUGGAGGCCUUCGGGUUGUGAACCUCUUUCGCUAAUGGUCAAGCCGCAACAAUGGUUGUGGUGAGGGUAGUGGGUAAAGAAGCGCCGGCUAACUACGUG
rnacentral:rRNA from 1 species